rnacentral:rRNA from 1 species
GACGAACGCUGGCGGCGUGCUUAACACAUGCAAGUCGAACGGAAAGGCCCUGCUUUUGUGGGGUGCUCGAGUGGCGAACGGGUGGGUAACACGUGAGUAACCUGCCCUUGACUUUGGGAUAACUUCAGGAAACUGGGGCUAAUACCGGAUAGGAGCUCCUGCUGCAUGGUGGGGGUUGGAAAGUUUCGGCGGUUGGGGAUGGACUCGCGGCUUAUCAGCUUGUUGGUGGGGUAGUGGCUUACCAAGGCUUUGACGGGUAGCCGGCCUGAGAGGGUGACCGGCCACAUUGGGACUGAGAUACGGCCCCGACUCCUAAGGGAGGGAGCAGUGGGGAAUAUUGCAAAAUGGGCGGAAGCCUGAUGCAGCCACGCCGCGUGCGGGAUGAAGGCCUUCGGGUUGUAAACCGCUUUCGCCUGUGACGAAGCGUGAGUGACGGUAAUGGGUAAAGAAGCACCGGCUAACUACGUG